rnacentral:lncRNA from 1 species
AUAUAGAUAAUAGUUAAUAUAACAGUUUAACCAGUCUGUCUGUGGCUAAACCAGUCACCAUCUCCUGCACUGGAAGCAGCAACAAUAAGGGUCUUGGGCUUGUGUCCUGGUACCAACAAUGACCAGGAAGUGCCGCCAAACCUCUGAUACAUAUGUACGGAUCCAUAUAUUUAUAUCCAUAUCCUGCGGCGAAUAUCCACCUGCAGGGAUCCAGGACUGAAUCUCAGGCUACCGGUCUGGCAAGGAGGCAUUGCUGAGCAUCUCUGGGCUACAGGCUUAGGACAAGGCUGAUCUCUGCUGUUGGCUUUAGGCAGCUCCAUCGAGGUCCCCACAGUGCUGCAGUCUGGGGAACUGAGAC